UGCACUGUAUGAAUGCUAAAGAAGGAAACAACAACAUGCCAAUACGCUGGCUGAUAUUGUUACCUAAUACCUAGGUACAUGGAAACAAAUUGGAGAUACCUUGGCUUCUUAUAGCUUCCUAAAAUCUGGUUGCUUGGGUGGUCACGUGUUGUGGGUCCUAGCUUCAAGUAUGGUUCAUGAUAAGAUCAGGCAUUCUUGUGGGCCAUGGCAAGGCGCACAUUCUUAUUUAUGAUGAUGCAGUUCAAAUAUAUGCAGUUCAAAAUGAAGAAUCGUAAAAUUGCCCAAUGUUGGGUGUGGCAGAGUUUCUUCAGAAACCUCUAUCUGAAGACAAACUGAGAAACAUAUGGCAGCACGUGGUUCAUAAGGUGGGCUUAUUUUUCGGGUGUCUCACAUGAACUAAGAAUAAUAAGGACAUGUUUGGAUGCACAAUCUAAUUGAAUUGAAACCCAAUAAAGUUGAAAUGACCAAAUCACAAUUCAAGUUAGACAUGGAAGGAAUGCAACUGCAAUGUGAUCAUUUCCUCUCUCUUGAACAAACAAUUGCAAUUCAUUUCAAUAGUGCAUUAAAACGCAACCUAGAUGCUGCAUUAUGAUUAUUUUCAGUCAUUUUGA